UCAUUUGAAUUUUUGGAUCCUCUGCAGCAGAGAGCUUAGUGCCUGACACUUGGGCUAAUUCUGCACUGAGAAAUUGCCAUCUGCCAGUUAACUGCUUUCAGAGUCUUGAUACUCACAAUAGACUAUGGAACUGGCUCAGAGAGAGGCAAAGUGAGCUGUCCAUGACACCAACAGGAACUGCUAUGGUUUGUAAGUUUAUUUGUCAAUGAAGUGAGACUCUCUCCCUGCUCUCCUUUCCUCUCAGUACCCAUCUGAUAAACUUACAGAAGGCAUCUCCGAUUCACAACACCCGCCACCAGCCCCCCACAGAAUAACACAUCGUCUGGC
rnacentral:lncRNA from 1 species